CUGUACUCCACGCAUCAUCGCUGGAGAAGGAGGCGCAGUUUGAAACCUCUUUCUCACCGACGUGGGUGAAGGAGGGGGAGACUCUGACCCUGCAGUGUGUCCUCACCUCUGCCCUGCUGCCCGUCCAGCAGGAGGUCACCUGGUUCAGAGAUGGGGUCCAGAUACAUCCGUCAAACAAGGUGGACAUUAAGACAGCAGGUUGCUCUGCCUCCAUCACUGUAACGGGGGUCCACAAG